ACAAACCAUGCCUUGUUACUCGAGUACCCUUAAUCCCUUAUCUUCUGUCCAUUCUCUCGUUCCUCUGCUCUCUUCUCAUUUUAUCGCCUGAUGAAAUCAUCAAAAAACAAACCCUAGAAAUCUAUUUAAACCAUUAAAGAACAAAAAUGAUUCUCUAUCCGUGAUUCUCUAUAAACCCUUGCAUCUAUUACACUCCAGUAAACCAAAUCAAUCUCUUGUCCUAACAGAUCCAUUCUAGGUUGUCUUCUUCUUGUUAGGUUUUGUAGUGAUUUACUUAUCUUCAAUUGGUCGUGUGGUGAUGUGAAUUAUGUUGAUAUUAUUGGAGGUGAUCCCGGUGGUUAUUUCGUAACAAUUAAAAUGAUUGAAGGUAUACACAGAUUGAUACUUCAUCUGAUUUUAAUUCCUAUAAUAAUAUGUGGAUCUGGUUGAUUUUAAUUGUUUGUAGUAGUCAUUCAAUUUUGGUAUUGAUUUUUCAUUUUUUGUCUCCUUUUCAGUUAUGGGUUUUAGUUGAAUGGGUAAAUUAGGAUUUUGGGUGAAAUAACAUGUUUUAUGUGACAAAAAUGAUACUCUAACUGCUUUCUUUUUAUGGGAUUCUUUGUUUAUAUCUUUUUAUGUGGGGUUGAGUUGUAGAUCAUGAGUUAAACACGGGAUGGAAUGUGGAAGGGUUGAAGCUUGAUGUAUCUAAGAAUUCUGGAUUUAUUGGUUAAAUCCAACUUUGACUAUGAGGUCGAUUAUCCUAAUAGUUAUCACUGAAUAAUAGAUGAUGAUCAACUGCAGGAAAUAUGUAUUUGUAUAUAUGAUGAUUUUUAAUACAAAAAUGGGAAGAAUGCUAGCAAGAUUGACCUUAGAUUUAUACUCUAUGAAUCUUGUCUAUUGAUAAUAUUUACCCUGUUUAGGCAGGACUAUUUACAGGAGAAGACAAAUAAUGAACCAUGCCUAAAGGAAGGCCCCUAUUGAGUUACUUAACUGAUUUCUCAAAAAAAAAAAAAUUUUUUUUUUUUUUUUAUGUUCAUUCAUCAAUGUUGUAUUGCUUAAUUGUCCGAAUUUUAGGUGGUUGGUAAUAAGUUUAUUGAGGACUGAGGUAAAGGGACCUUCAAGUUACAGUAGGAGGCGACAAUCAAUGAGUCAUUGUAAUUUCUCAAAUCUUGGGUUCUUUUAUUAUUUUCUCUUUUUUGGUUAUGUUAUUUGUGAGCUGAAGUAGUGUGAUUGAUCAACUUGCUGUUGUCGAAUGACAGUUUGUUGUUGUGAUGAUAAUGUUGUAAGGGGGAUAAGGCUACUCUGAUAUAUACUUUAUUGUAUAUUGUAUGCUUGUUGUGUUUCUAGAAAAUUUUUGUUAACAUUUUAUCACUGUAUAGAAAAAUUACCACUACUACA